rnacentral:rRNA from 1 species
GAAUAUUGGUCAAUGGAGGAAACUCUGAACCAGCCAUCCCGCGUGUAGGAAGAAGGCCCCCUGGGUUGUAAACUACUUUUAUCUGGGAAGAAAAGCCGUCAUUUAUGAUGGUCUGACGGUACCAGAGGAAUAAGCACCGGCUAACUCCGUGCCAGCAGCCGCGGUAAGACGGAGGGUGCAAGCGUUAUCCGGAAUUACUGGGUUUAAAGGGUGCGUAGGCGGCGCUGUAAGUCAGGGGUGAAAGGUUCCGGCUCAACCGGAGAAUUGCCUUUGAUACUGCAGUGCUAGGAUUGGGUUGAGGUUGGCGGAAUGUGACAUGUAGCGGUGAAAUGCAUAGAUAUGUCAUAGAACACCGAUUGCGAAGGCAGCCAACUGGACCUUGAUUGACGCUGAGGCACGAAAGCGUGGGGAGCAAACAGG